GACGAACGCUGGCGGCGUGCUUAACACAUGCAAGUCGAACGGACAGACAGAGAGCUUGCUCUCUUGAAGUUAGUGGCGAACGGGUGAGUAACGCGUAAUCAACCUGCCCUUCAGAGGGGGAUAACAACGGGAAACCGUUGCUAAUACCGCGUACGAUUCAUGAACGGCAUCGUUUAUGAAUGAAAGGUGGCCUCUAUGUAUAAGCUAUCGCUGAAGGAGGGGAUUGCGUCUGAUUAGCUAGUUGGAGGGGUAACGGCCCACCAAGGCAAUGAUCAGGAGCCGGUCUGAGCGGAUGAACGGCCACAUUGGGACUGAGACACGGCCCAAACGCCUACGGGAGGCAGCAGUGGGGAAUCUUCCGCAAUGGACGAAAGUCUGACGGAGCAACGCCGCGUGAGUGAUGAAGGUCUUCGGAUUGUAAAGCUCUGUUAAUCGGGACGAAAGAGUUCUGCGUGAAUAAUGCAAAAAAGUGACGGUACCGGAAUAGAAAGCCACGGCUAACUACGUGCCAGCCGCCGCGGUAA
rnacentral:rRNA from 1 species